rnacentral:rRNA from 1 species
AAAAUUAAUCAAGGGCACACGGUGGAUGCCUUGGGAUCUAGAGGCGAUGAAGGACGUGGUAAGCUGCGAUAAGCUUCGGGGAGCUGCAACGAGCGCUAAUCCGAAGAUUUCCGAAUGGGGCAACCCGGCAGAUGGAAGAUCUGUCACCGAAAGGAGCUAACCCAGUGAACUGAAACAUCUAAGUAGCUGGAGGAAAAGAAAAUAAUUAAUGAUUCCCUAAGUAGUGGCGAGCGAACGGGGAAGAGCCCAAACCAAUUAUGUUCCGGCAUAGUUGGGGUUGUAGGGCCGCGAUAUCGAAUGUACAUGCGAAGAAGAACACAACUGGAAAGUUGGGCCAUAGUGGGUGAUAGCCCCUUAAUCGUAUGCAUGUGUUAUUUGUAGCGGUACCCUGAGUAGGGCGGGACACGUGGAAUCCUGUCUGAAUCUACCAGGACCAUCUGGUAAGGCUAAAUACUCCUAGAUCACCGAUAGUGAACCAGUACCGUGAGGGAAAGGUGAAAAGUACCCUGAAUAAGGGAGUGAAAUAGUACCUGAAACCGUGUGCUUACAAGCGGUCGGAGCUUCUUCGUGAAGUGACGGCGUGCCUUUUGCAUAAUGAUCCUACGAGUUGCUCCUCACUAGCGAGGUUAAGGGCUGAAGGCCCGGAGCCGAAGCGAAAGCGAGUCUGAAUAGGGCGUAUAGUUAGUGGGGGCAGACGCGAAACCUAGUGAUCUACCCAUGGCCAGGGUGAAGCUUUGGUAACACAAAGUGGAGGCCCGAACCCGUUGACGUUGAAAAGUCUUGGGAUGAGCUGUGGGUAGGGGUGAAAGGCUAAUCAAACUGGGAAAUAGCUCGUACUCCCCGAAAUGUAUUUAGGUACAGCCUUGAGUGUAGUGUAUUAGAGGUAGAGCUACUGGUUGGAUGCGGGGGCUUCACCGCCUACCAAGUCCUGUCAAACUCCGAAUGCUAAUACAUGUUCCUCAGGAGUGAGGGCCGGGGUGCUAAGGUCACGGUCCGAGAGGGAAACAACCCAGAUCAUCUGCUAAGGUCCCAAAAUAUAUGCUAAGUUGAACAAACGAGGUCGGGCUGCUUUGACAGCUAGGAUGUUGGCUUGGAAGCAGCCAUUCAUUUAAAGAGUGCGUAACAGCUCACUAGUCGAGCGGCCUGGCAUGGACAAUAAUCGGGCAUUAAGCAUAUUACCGAAGCAAUGGGCUCGUAAGAGCGGUAGGGGAGCAUUCUGGUUGCGCCGAAGGUUGACCGUAAGGUUGGCUGGAGCGGCCAGAAAAGAAAAUGUAGGAAUAAGUAACGAUAAUGCAGGUGAGAAACCUGCACACCGUAAACCCAAGGUUUCCUCAGCAAUGCUAAUCAGCUGAGGGUUAGUCGGGACCUAAGGCGAACCCGAACGGGGUAGUCGAUGGAUAACUGGUUAAUAUUCCAGUACUCGCUUUAACUGCGAUGGGGUAACGAAGGUGUGACAGCUCCGCGUACUGACGGAAUAGUACGUUGAAGCCCGUAGGUAUAGGUUGGAUAGGCAAAUCCGUCCGACUUGCUGAAAGGUGAUAGUACUCCAAGGCUUCGGCUGCGGAGAUAGUGAGUGUAAUCAGACUUCCAAGAAAAACCUCUAAGCUUCAGGUUAAAGCGACUCGUACCGUAAACCGACACAGGUGGGUGAGGAGAGUAUCCUCAGGUGCUCGAGUGAAUCAUGGCUAAGGAACUAGGCAAAAUCGCCCCGUAACUUCGGGAGAAGGGGCGCCUCCGCGAGGAGGCCGCAGUGAAUAGGCCCAGGCGACUGUUUAGCAAAAACACAGGACUCUGCUAAAUCGAAAGAUGAUGUAUAGGGUCUGACACCUGCCCGGUGCUGGAAGGUUAAGAGGAGAUGUUAUCGCAAGAGAAGCAUUGAAUUGAAGCCCCAGUAAACGGCGGCCGUAACUAUAACGGUCCUAAGGUAGCGAAAUUCCUUGUCGGGU